UACGAAGGGGGCUAGCGUUGUUCGGAUUUACUGGGCGUAAAGCGCACGUAGGCGGAUCUUUAAGUCAGAGGUGAAAUCCCAAGGCUCAACCUUGGAACUGCCUUUGAUACUGGGGAUCUUGAGUCCGGGAGAGGUGAGUGGAACUGCGAGUGUAGAGGUGAAAUGCGUAGAGAUCGGCAGGAACACCCAGGGAGAAAUCAGCCGCCUGGGCAAGUGCUGACGCUGAGGUGCGAAAGCGUGGGGAGCGAACCGG
rnacentral:rRNA from 1 species